CGCCCAGCGUGCGCCUCCCUCUCGCUGGCUCCCGGCUCGGAGGAGAGUUCGACCAUGGACGGGCUCCGGGCUAGUGCGGCUUUGCUGAGGCGCGGGCGGCUGAGACGCCGGCGCCAGCCUCAGUCACACAGCGGGUCGGUGCUGGUCCUGCCCCUGAGGCCCAGGAAAAUCCGCAGGCAGCUCAGGAGAAGUGCUGCGUCCCGCAUGGCGGCGCUGAGGGCCCAGACGCUGCCCAGCGAAGACUCGGAGGACUCGCGGGUGGAAUCGACCGUGGACGGUCCCCGGGACCCGCCGCCUGGAGGGGCGACGGCCACCCCGGAUGCGGCCCGGCGAGAGCCGUACGGCCACCUGGGCCCUGCCGAGCUGCUGGAGGCCUCGCCCGCGGCCCGCUCCCUGCAGACCCCGCCGGCGCGUUUGGUGGAGGCGCAGACCCCGCCGGCGCGCCUGGUGCCCGCUUCGGCGCCGCCCUCGCGCCUGGUGGAGACCUCGGCCCUGCUGUGCUCUGCCCAGCACUUGGCGUCCGCGGCCCCCGCGACGCUGUCGGGGUCGCAGGUGGGUAGCACCGGCGGGGAGCCAGCCUGGGACUCCCCAUUGCGGCGCGUCUUGGCCGAGCUGAACCGCAUCCCCAGCAGCCGGCGGCGGGCAGCACGCCUCUUCGAAUGGCUCAUUGCGCCCAUGCCACCCGAUCAUUUCUACCGGCGCCUGUGGGAGCGGGAGGCGGUGCUGGUGCGGCGGCAGGACCACACCUACUACCAGGGUCUGUUUUCUACCGCCGACCUGGAUGCCAUGCUGCGCAACGAGGAGGUGCAGUUUGGGCAGCACCUGGACGCCGCGCGCUACGUCGACGGGCGGCGCGAGACCUUGAAUCCGCCGGGCCGGGCCCUGCCCGCUGCCGCGUGGUCCCUGUACCAGGCCGGCUGCUCCCUGCGCCUCCUUUGUCCCCAGGCCUUCUCGACCACCGUGUGGCAGUUUUUGGCGGUGCUCCAGGAGCAGUUUGGAAGCAUGGCGGGCUCCAACGUUUACCUCACGCCCCCCAACUCGCAGGGCUUUGCCCCCCACUACGACGACAUCGAGGCUUUUGUGCUGCAGCUGGAAGGUCGGAAACUCUGGCGCGUCUACCGACCCCGGGUCCCGACUGAGGAAUUGGCCCUGACGUCCAGCCCCAACUUCAGCCAGGAAGACCUUGGUGAGCCGGUGCUGCAGACCGUGCUGGAACCUGGAGAUUUGCUCUAUUUUCCUCGGGGCUUCAUUCACCAAGCCGAAUGCCAGGAUGGGGUGCACUCUCUCCACCUCACCUUGUCCACGUACCAGCGCAAUACCUGGGGUGACUUCUUGGAGGCUGUACUGCCUCUGGCGGUGCAGGCUGCCAUGGAGGAAAAUGUGGAGUUUCGUAGGGGACUGCCCCGAGACUUCAUGGAUUACAUGGGGGCCCAGCAUUCGGAUUCUAAGGAUCCUCGAAGAACUGCUUUCAUGGAGAAGGUGCGGGUCUUGGUUGCCCGCUUGGGACACUUUGCUCCGGUCGAUGCUGUGGCUGACCAGCGAGCCAAAGACUUCAUCCACGAUUCUCUGCCUCCCGUGCUGACUGACAGGGAGAAGGCACUAAGUGUUUACGGGCUCCCAAUUCGCUGGGAGGCAGGAGAGCCUGUGAACGUAGGAGCCCAGCUGACAACAGAAACGGAAGUGCACAUGCUUCAGGAUGGGAUAGCCCGGCUGUUGGGCGAGGGAGGCCAUCUGUUUCUCUAUUACACAGUGGAAAACUCCCGUGUUUAUCACCUGGAAGAGCCCAAAUGCUUGGAGAUAUUACCCCAGCAAGCUGAUGCCAUGGAACUCUUACUCCGCUCCUACCCCGAGUUUGUGAGGGUAGGGGACCUGCCCUGUGACAGCGUGGAGGACCAGCUUUCCUUGGCCACCAUGUUGUAUGAUAAGGGGUUGCUGCUCACCAAGAUGCCUCUUACCUGAACUAGUUUCUCGUUGAUUGCUGGAAACAAGGCAGCAGUGAUGACUCUUUCCUACCACCACCACCUUGUUCUGGAGGGGAAAAACUCACGUUCUUACCUUGAUGACCAUCGUUGUGCUCACACUUACCUUUAGGCCUGCUGCAGUGUCAAAAAACUCAGAGGAUGUUUUAGGAACCACCACAUCUAGGCACAGAAAUAAAAGCAGAAGUUGGAGGUGGAAAAAAGCUAUUUCUACCCAAGUAACCUUGAUCCCUGAUCAUUUCAGAAUACGAACUUAAUCAUCCGCCUCAGGCUUCAGUGUACUGUGUAGCACUUGCUGUCGUUCUGCUUGAGACAUGAGAAGUUUUUAUUUGGAAUUGCUUUGCAUCCUUAAUUUGAGUUCUCAUUCAUCAGUUUGGGGGAGGGUCGGGUUGGAAGAAACUUCCCCAUAUCUGGCAAGUGCAUAUUCUCAUGUUGGUGGAAAAGAGCCUGGUGUACCAGAGAGAGCAUUGGACUUGGAACCAGAAGACCUGGGUUUGGGGUGGUGGCUGGUAGGCAGCUGGCUGAAUGACCUGAGGCUGCUGCUACGCCUGGGCGCACAGAUUUUCUCACAGAUCUAUAUGGUGAUACAGGCUUCUUUUGAAUACCUCCAUCAGGUUUUCCCCUAAUAACGUGGGAUUACAACUUCGCUCACUGGAGUUGAUCUUAAAGCCCAUAAAAAGGGCACCUGCUGCUAAACAGGCUGCUCGCCGAACUGCCAUGAAGUCAUCAGAGAAGCAGUUAAGGAAGCUGGGGAAAAGCUUGGCGGUCAUGAGCUUGAGCCCACCAAUCAGAGACAGGGCUUCCACACGCUCUUGGGAAUUUCCUAGACUCAGCUUGAUUCUGUAAAGUACAGGUGCUUUUAUUUCCCCUCUUCAAACUUUUGAUGCUCCUUCCCCCCAGUGCCCUCAGGAUAAAAUCCAACCUCUGUAGGCUCUCCAUUAUCCAUUUCCACCCUUUCCUAGUCAGCCUUAUCCCCUAUUAGGUUAAGUUUCACUGGGUAGAGACUCGACUGUCUUAUUUACUUAAAUCCCUAUUACCUAAUUAUGUUGAAUGACUAAAUAAAAGACACUUUCAAACAUGCACCUCUUGCUUGCUACAGUUCUCUUUGCUGCCUUCACCUGUGCCAUGCUCAUUUCUAUAUUUGGCUCCCAAAUGUCUUUCCUUCUCUUUGCCUGUGUAGUCUUAGCUGUCCUCCAUGAAACUUGACCUUAUUAGAUAUUUGUGUAUCUUGCCUGUAUAAUCAGAAUCAUG